AUGUUCAGACAUGCACUACAAGCUGUUGCAUUCCUCAGCGAGGAGAAAAUCACCGCCAAAGUGGAGCACUUGAAGACCACGUUCAUGUGGACGGAUGCCGAGGUGGGCAUUGUCGUUUCUAAGGCUCCAACGUUGCUGACGAGGAAUAAGGAAUCGCUGCAGCGCAGGUCCGAGUUCCUCAUCUCUGAGGUGGGGUUGGAACCGGCAUACAUCGCUUAUCGUCCGGCAAUGCUCACUUACAGCUUAGAGGGCCGGAUCAGACCCCGGUACUAUGUCGUAAAGUUUCUCAAGGAAAAUGGAUUGCUCAAGCAUGACCCGAGCUACUUUACUAUUUUCAAGGAGUCCGGGAAGAUGCUGGGUUGA
rnacentral:rRNA from 1 species